UACGGGGGGGGCAAGCGUUGUUCGGAAUUACUGGGCGUAAAGGGCUCGUAGGCGGCCAACUAAGUCAGACGUGAAAUCCCUCGGCUUAACCGGGGAACUGCAUCUGAUACUGGAUGGCUUGAGUUCGGGAGAGGGAUGCGGAAUUCCAGGUGUAGCGGUGAAAUGCGUAGAUAUCAGGGGGAACACCUGAGGUGUAGACGGCUUUCUGGACCGUAGCUGACGCUGAGACACGAAAGCGUGGGUAGCAAACAGG
rnacentral:rRNA from 1 species